UUUUCAAAACUACCUGGAGGAGCUUGCUAUUUAAACCGAUAACCCACGAAAAACCUUACCAACCCUAGCAAAAACAGCCUGUAUACCAUCGUCGUCAGUCUACCUCGCAAGAGAAAAGUACACCUAAAGAGUAUGUCCAACCUCCAGCAGACUCCCCACCCCCAACGUCAGAUCAAGGUGCAGCUCAUGGGUUGGGAAUAAGUGAGCUACAAUAACAAUAUCAAUACAAAAAAGAUAUGAAAUCAGCACUGAAAAAACAGAAAAAAAAGGAUUCAACAGUAAUACUUAAAAGAAAGUAAGUAUGAAACCACUAGCUCUGAAAUGCGC
rnacentral:rRNA from 1 species